rnacentral:rRNA from 1 species
UACGAAGGGUGCAAGCGUUAUCCGGAUUCACUGGGUUUAAAGGGUGCGUAGGUGGGUUGGUAAGUCAGUGGUGAAAUCUCCGAGCUUAACUUGGAAACUGCCAUUGAUACUAUUAAUCUUGAAUAUUGUGGAGGUCAGCGGAAUAUGUCAUGUAGCGGUGAAAUGCUUAGAGAUGACAUAGAACACCAAUUGCGAAGGCAGCUGGCUACACAUAUAUUGACACUGAGGCACGAAAGCGUGGGGAUCAAACAGG